rnacentral:tRNA from 1 species
GCCCUAAAAGCUAAUUGGAAAGCUACUAAUCUUGUAAAUUAGGUGAUGAAGGUUCGAAUCCUUAUUAGGGCU